rnacentral:sRNA from 1 species
UAUAACAACUAAAAUUGCAACAAGAUCUUAAAAGCCUAAGUCUUGUAUCCUUGUUAGAAGAUACAAAGACAAAGACUAAUACGAACUUCAGCUACAGCAUCAAAGCGUUGAGAAGCAAGAAGAAGUAUGGUUAGUGUUUUGGAGUCAAAUAUGACUUGAUGUGAUGUGUAUGAUUGAGUAUAAGAACUUAAAUCGCAACUGGAUCCUAAAAGCCUAAGUAGUGUUUCCUUGUUAGUUGAUACAAAUAAAAAGACUCAUACAGACUGCAGCUACACCAUUAAAGCUUUGAGAAGCAAAAAGAGGCUUGG